GUCACCCUGUGACCUGCAGGUACUGGGAGAUCUGUAGGGAGGACGCCGGGACAUCCCUGAAGCUGGGAAAUGGAACUGUUGACAUUCAAGGACGUGUCUAUAGAGUUCUCAAUGGAUGAGUGGGCCUGCCUGGACCCUGCUCAGCAGACUUUGUAUCGGGAUGUCAUGUUGGAGAACUACAGACACCUGGUCUUCCUAGGUCUCACUUUCUCUAAGCCCGACGUCAUCAUCUGUCUGGAGCAAAGCAAAGGACCCUGGACAGUGA